rnacentral:rRNA from 1 species
UACGUAGGGGGCUAGCGUUGUCCGGAAUCAUUGGGCGUAAAGCGCGUGUAGGCGGUUCGGUAAGUCCGCUGUGAAAGUCGAGGGCUCAACCCUCGAAAGCCGGUGGAUACUGUCGGGCUAGAGUGCGGAAGAGGCGAGUGGAAUUCCAGGUGUAGCGGUGAAAUGCGUAGAUAUCUGGAGGAAUACCGGUGGCGAAGGCGGCAUCCUGGACCGGCAUUGACGCUGAGGAGCGAAAGCCAGGGGAGCAAACGGG